UACGGGGGGGGUAAGCGUUGUUCGGAAUUACUGGGCGUAAAGGGCUCGUAGGCGGCCAACUAAGUCGGACGUGAAAUCCCUCAGCUUAACUGAGGAACUGCGUCCGAUACUGGAUGGCUUGGAUUCGGGAGAGGAAUGCGGAAUUCCAGGUGUAGCGGUGAAAUGCGUAGAUAUCUGGAGGAACACCGGUGGCGAAGGCGGCAUUCUGGACCGACAUUGACGCUGAGGAGCGAAAGCGUGGGGAGCAAACAGG
rnacentral:rRNA from 1 species